rnacentral:rRNA from 1 species
AAUUUUGGACCAUGGGUGAAACCCUGCUCCAGCCAUCCCGCGUGUGCGAUGAAGGCCUUCGCGUUGUAAUGCACUUUUGUCAGGGCAGAAAUCGUACAGGCUAAUAUCUUGUGCGGAUGACGGCACCUGAAGAAUAAGCACCGGCUAACUACGUGCCAGCCGCCGCGGUAAUACGUAGGGUGCAAGCGUUAAUCGGAAUUACUGGGCGUAAAGGGUGCGCAGGCGGUUUAUCAAGAAAGGUGUGAAAUCCCCGGGCUUAACCUGGGAAUGGCACUUUUAACUGAUAGGCUAGAGUAUGUCAGAGGGGGGUAGAAUUCCACGUGUAGCAGUGAAAUGCGUAGAUAUGUGGAGGAAUACCGAUGGCGAAGGCAGCCCCCUGGGAUAAUACUGACGCUCAGACACGAAAGCGUGGGGAGCAAACAG